CCAGGUAGCAACAUAGGCGAAACUCACAACAAAGUAUUUAUUUGAAGUAUAGAAUUUGGGGCAAAUUGGUUUGCACCAAUCAGAACAUUGGAUUUUUGAAACAUGAACGUGUGCGUUGUUGUGAAUUUUAAUUUUUCCCUGGCUCCCUAAUUGCUACAGAAGAUUUCGUGAACUCGAUGGACUCGCAGUGCGCAUAAUGUUUAUCCAAAAUCAAUCUCUAAAUCGGAUAUAAAUGAGGGAUUUAAAUUGGAUUAAAACUUCCCCAGACUAGUUAUCAAUCGUAUUAAUGUUGUGAACUUUGAUUUAGACUGUGACAAAAUUAUGGUCUCUCGUGCAAAUUCAGAUCCAAUUUGGGCUAGCUACUUUCCGAAUAAGGUAUUUUUGGUGCAGUCACAAUUUCGGCGAGCUCCCCAAAGCGAAAGUAUAUCACUGACGGUUCUGAGUCUAUUACCUAAACAUUAAAGUAAAUUCUUUUGAGGAUUCGAGGAUGUUUGUAUCUCUGGAAACAGGAUAUUUCUUAAAAUGUGAUGUUAACAUAGAAGCUUGUUAGAUUUAAUAAAUAUUGAAACGGUUAACAAUUCCAUUAGGGCAUCUAUAUUGAGCAAAUAUUCGGUUUAAAAAUUUCCAAUUGUGAUUGUUUCCAACUGUAUUGGCAUUUACACACAACUAGAGCCCAAAUAAAAUUGUAUUCCCAUUGCAUUCCAGUUUAUUAUAUAAGAGAUUCAAGAAGCAUAAUGUUAAGGGUUUUAAGCACAUCUGAGAGUUCGUUUUUUGCGCCUUAGAAUAAUGUCAAUCAUGUUCACAUUGGUGUAACUACUUAAAGAAUAUUUCUAAUGUUUCACAGUCGCAUUUUCAGCAGACUCAUGCAGUGUUUAUCGUGGUCUCAUAGUGCAAAUCGUUCAAACAUUUUUUUAUGGGCAUAGGUGUGGCGAAUUCAAAUUACAACAAUUUUUUUGACAUAUCAAAUUGAUACCAGCUGGCGUGAAAGGGUUACCUUGUAAUUCUACCAUGCUUACAAUAAAAAUAAUUCAUUCAUUUCUAAAUUUUCUUCAGAAAAAUAAACCACAAACUUUUUUAAAAACUUAAUUGUUGGGAUUUUAUUUAACCCAUGAACUCAAACAACUGCUGACUCCAGACAAAGAAUACCGAUAGCUGUUCAAAUUGGUUACAUUCGACACAAGAACUAUUCAUGGCAACGGGCGCUACGAAUGCAACAUCACCAAUUGAAGUUCUGCGCUGUGAAAGCAAAUCGAAUCACAAUUCAUUAUGGCUGGCGUUACACAGGAUUCAACAAAAUGCCGCACAAUUGUCGCGUCAAUUGAAAGCAAUAUUUUGAAGGAGGCAUCAGACAUAAGCGUCUGAAAAAAAUAUUGACGAACAAGGACGAGCUCGGCGACAAAAGGCCUUUAAAAUUGAUUUUGCUGCUUUGAUACGUCAGUGUUUCCAUAACCAUCAUUUUGUUAAUUUUUUAUGUAAUGUCAUUAGAAGGCAACACCAACAAAUUUAAAAUUUAUCAAAAAAUUGUCAAAUAAAAUAGAUGAAUGUCCAGAAAACAUUUGUAGAAUGUGGUCCUUUCAAACAAUUCACAUUUCACAUCACACACGGCAUUUUGGCAACCUCUUUGUACAACUUCACUUUUCGUAGAGUUUAUUUGAAUUAUUUAUUUGAGUUUAAGAUGAUACCGGAAAUCAUUUCAUGCUCUAUAAUUGACUAAAUAGCUUUUAUUUAUACAGGGUGAGAUGAAAAAACUGCAACCAACUUC